rnacentral:rRNA from 1 species
UACGUAGGGUGCGAGCGUUAAUCGGAAUUACUGGGCGUAAAGCGUGCGCAGGCGGCUUUGUAAGUUAGAGGUGAAAGCCCGGAGCUCAACUCCGGAACUGCCUUUAAGACUGCAUCGCUAGAACGUUGGAGAGGUGAGUGGAAUUCCGAGUGUAGAGGUGAAAUUCGUAGAUAUUCGGAAGAACACCAGUGGCGAAGGCGACUCACUGGACAACUGUUGACGCUGAGGAGCGAAAGCGUGGGGAGCGAACAGG